GAGUUUGAUUCUGGCUCAGGAUGAACGCUAGCGGAACGCCUAACACAUGCAAGUCGAACGGAGUCUGCGUUGUAGCAAUACAUAGUAGAUUUAGUGGCAAACGAGCGAGUAACGCGUGCUUAACCUGCCCCCGAGAUGAGAAUAACUGCAGAGAUGUAGCUAAUCCUCAAUAUGCUCACGAUGGUGAAAUUCCAAUGUGAGGAAAGAUUUAUCGCUCGGGGAGGGGAGUGCGUCCUAUCAGGUAGUUGGUUGAGGUAAUGGCUCACCAAGCCGAUGACGGGUAGCCGGUCUGAGAUGAUGUCCGGCCGCGAUGGGACUGAGAUACGGCCCAUACUCCUACGGGAGGCAGCAGUGGGGAAUCUUGCACAAUGGACGAAAGUCUGAUGCAGCGAUCCCGCGUGAAGGAUGAAGCAUUACGGUGUGUAAACUUCUUUUUUGGUGGAAGACGA
rnacentral:rRNA from 1 species